UACGGAGGGGACUAGCGUUGUUCGGAAUUACAGGGCGUAAAGCGCACGUAGGCGGAUUUGUAAGUCAGGGGUGAAAUCCCGGGGCUCAACCUCGGAACUGCCUUUGAUACUGCAAAUCUCGAGUCCGGAAGAGGUGAGUGGAAUUCCUAGUGUAGAGGUGAAAUUCGUAGAUAUUAGGAAGAACACCAGUGGCGAAGGCGGCUCACUGGUCCGGUACUGACGCUGAGGUGCGAAAGCGUGGGGAGCAAACAGG
rnacentral:rRNA from 1 species